UUUUACACCACAAACUUGCUGUUUCCUUCUCCACUCCCAUUCUAGAUAUCGAGCAAUCCCCUGUGCCAAUGCUGCCUCGCACUUCACAUCUGCUGCUCUCCUCCUGUCUGUUUAAUAUUCACCCCAAGCAUGAGCACCCUGCCUUAAUGCACCUGCAGUCAUUGGCAGUGGGUGAGUAGCUGAGGAGAGAGAAAAAUCACAGCCCUGCACCUCCUGACACCGUGUGAGGGGCUCCAUAUGCUCUGUGCUCACUGGAAGAUCUGAAACUGGCAUUGCAUCAAAAUUGUUCUCCCCACCUUUGAAAGCAGGAAUGGUAUUUAGAAGAAAAGCCAAUGGUCUUAAGCCUCAAGCUGUAGGAAUUGGCCCGUAAUGGAGCUGCUAAUUAUUUGCAGAAUCAGAGGAACAAGACUCAGGACCAGCUGGAAGCUGCUCUUUGCAGAAGGGCAUAGCAUCAGUGAACAUAGGAUAUAAUGAAGGAGAGCUUCAUCCCAGACACCAAGCUGCAGCAGAGGCUUUGCUGAAAAUGACCGUGUAGCUCCCACUACCUCAGCUGAAUAUGGCUGGAUAAGGAAGUAUUUUUCCAGCUCAUUUCUGGAUGAACAAUCCUUCAUGCAACAAAAGCACUUAAGUUCCCCAGAAGUGCAACUCAGCAUUGGUGAUGAGCUGUUCAGAGAAAGCAGUGUAACUUUUAUACCUUCACAAGAAAAGCAGCACAAGAGUUUAUCACAAUUUUUGAUACACCAGAGAGAUCACUGCCUUACCUCAUGUAAUAAGGAAAUGAAAUAUUCUUUUACUGGCUGUGGGGAGGUUGGUGCUUGCUCAGUGCAAAGCAAAGACUAUUUCAGGGAAUUAGAAGGUUGUUCCCAUUCUGCCCAUCUUCUUGAAUUAACUAACAUUAAAGCUAUGGUUUUACAAGAC